GAAAGAUGAAAAGGACUUUGAAAAGAGAGUUAAAAAGUGCUUGAAAUUGCUGGGAGGGAAGCGAAUGGAUGCCUUUGUUGCCUGCUGGUUGUGUGCGGAACGGCGUAAAAGCUGGUCUGUCAAUCAACUCAGCGGGCUCCCUAGUGUGGGGGUGGAUGCCGGGAUAAAGGUCCCGGGCUCUUUUGCUUGGGAUUGAUGCCGGUGUCUACUCUGUGGCCUGGGGUGUGCGCCUUUCUGGCGGGCAACCUGCACACCCGGGACGCUGGCGGUUUUAGGUUUUUCAUUCGACCCGUCUUGAAACACGG
rnacentral:rRNA from 1 species